GUCUGGCACCAUGCACUAUAAAAACACUAAAAAUGUGUUUGAUGGGUUUUGUCCUUGAAUAAUGUUGUCAGGUCCAUAUUGUUCUGUAUGGAGAUAAUGUUGUCUCUCAAACCAGGGAACUCAGCAGCUCUGACUCCAAACUCUUUACAUGCAACUCAAGGAAUACCUUUAUUCUCAGAGCACAUCCGCUAGUGUGUCUGGAGAGCAGUAUAAGGUCAAGGUGCCUGAUGUCUACUCUGUAGGAGAACACCACGAUGCAGUUCUGAUGAACACUUGUGCAUCGUACCUGUCCUGCAAUAGUUUCCCACUGGACUCAAGGAUCAUGGGAAAAAAAAAUACAAUGUAUAAUGUACAGAUCAGUUAAAUUGCUUACUUUAUAUGCUCAGUUAAAUAUGCUUGACAAUGAAAUUAUUUUAGUCUACAGUACUAAAGACAGUGCAAAUGGUAUGUCCCGCAGUAUGGAGAUCAGGAUUGGAAAACCUCAGAUUCAGUGUCUAUGUCAAAACUGAAAGAGGAUCCUGAUGCCAUCUUAGAGAUUGUAGAAGACUCCAUCUCUGAUGUCAACAAGCAGAUCACAUGACAAAAGCAAAUGGAAUAAGAUCUCAAAUCACACACCUCUGCACGUUUGUAAACCCAUUAGUUAAAUAUUAUAUUACAAUUAUAUAGUAAAAAUUCUAUGUGGUUAUGUAUGUAUAUUUUUAAAGUGAUUAUAAUUAUUAAAAAUAUAUUUUUAUUUUAAUAUAGUUAUAGCAAUAUAUUUUUUAAAUUACAUUUUUG
ensembl:lncRNA